rnacentral:rRNA from 1 species
CGAAUUCGCCCUUACGGUUACCUUGUUACGACUUCACCCCAGUCACCGGGCCUGCCUUCGGCUGCUCCGCCCCUUUCGGGUUCGGCCACAGACUUCGGGCAUCCCCGGCUCCCAUGGUGUGACGGGCGGUGUGUACAAGACCCGGGAACGUAUUCACCGCGGCGUUCUGAUCCGCGAUUACUAGCGAUUCCGGCUUCAUGUAGUCGGGUUGCAGACUACAAUCCGAACUGGGGCGCCGUUUUUGGGGUUCGCUCCGCGUCGCCGCUUCGCAUCCCUCUGUCGGCGCCAUUGUAGCACGUGUGUCGCCCAGGCCAUAAGGGGCAUGAUGAUUUGACGUCGUCCCCGCCUUCCUCCGGGUUGUCCCCGGCAGUCCCCGCAGAGUGCCCACCUUCACGUGCUGGCUACUGCGGGCAGGGGUUGCGCUCGUUGCGGGACUUAACCCAACAUCUCACGACACGAGCUGACGACAACCAUGCACCACCUGUCUCCCCUGCCCCAAAAGGGCUGGCCCCG